AGUGAACGCUGGCGGCGUGCUUAACACAUGCAAGUCGAACGAGAACGGAUUAUAGCUUGCUAUAAUUGUCAGCUAAGUGGCGCACGGGUGAGUAAUGUAUAGGUAAUAUGCCUCUUACUAAGGGAUAACAAAUGGAAACGUUUGCUAAUACCUUAUACUCCUUAUUAACAGAAGUUAAUAAGGGAAAGAUUUAUUGGUAAGAGAUUAGCCUGUAUUGUAUCAGUUAGUUGGUGGGGUAAUGGCUUACCAAGACUAUGACACAUAACUGGUUUGAGGGGAUGAACGGUCACACUGGAACUGAGACACGGUCCAGACGCCUACGGGAGGAAGCAGUGGGGAAUAUUGCACAAUGGACGAAAGUCUGAUGCAGCAACGCCGCGUGGAGGAUGACACAUUUCGGUGCGUAAACUCCUUUUAUAUGAGAGGAUAAUGACGGUAUUAUAUGAAUAAGCACCGGCUAACUCCGUGCCAGCCGCCGCGGUAA
rnacentral:rRNA from 1 species